rnacentral:rRNA from 1 species
CCUACGGGGAGCAGCAGUGAGGAAUAUUGGUCAAUGGACGAGAGUCUGAACCAGCCAAGUAGCGUGAAGGAUGACUGCCCUAUGGGUUGUAAACUUCUUUUAUAUGGGAAUAAAAUGUUCCACGUGUGGGAUUUUGUAUGUACCAUAUGAAUAAGGAUCGGCUAACUCCGUGCCAGCAGCCGCGGUAAUACGGAGGAUCCGAGCGUUAUCCGGAUUUAUUGGGUUUAAAGGGAGCGUAGGUGGAUUGUUAAGUCAGUGGUGAAAGUUUGCGGCUCAACCGUAAAAUUGCAGUUGAUACUGGCAGUCUUGAGUACAGUAGAGGUGGGCGGAAUUCGUGGUGUAGCGGUGAAAUGCUUAGAUAUCACGAAGAACUCCGAUUGCGAAGGCAGUUCACUGGACUGCAACUGACACUGAGGCUCGAAAGUGUGGGUAUCAAACAGGAUUAGAUACCCCUGUAGUC